UCUCCGUGAUGAAGAGACACAGAUGACGAGUCCGAUCUAAUCCAUUCCAUUAAACCAACUCUUUGAUAGUGUUCGGGGC